AGCAAAUAUUGCUGCCUGAUCCUUCCUCUGGAAGCUUCAUCCCAGAGGAGCACCCGCCUGUAUGAGGUGUCAGUCGACCCCUACUGGGAGGUGCUCCCAGUUAGGCUACACAGGGGUCAGGGACCCACUUGAGGAGGCAGUCUGUCUGUUCCCAGAGCUCAAAUGCCAUGCUGGGAGAACCACUGCUCUUAAGAGCUGUCAGAUAGGGACUUUUAAGUCUGCAGAAGUUUCUGCCUACUUUUGUUCAGCUAUGCCCUGCCCCUAGAGGUAGAGUCAACAGAGGCAGCAGGCUUUGCUGAGCUGCAGUGGACUCCGCCCAGUUCAAGCUUCCCUGGCUGCUUUGUUUACCUACUCAAGCCUCAGCAAUGGCAGAUGCCCCUCCCACUGCCAGGCUGCUGCCAGGCUGCUGCCUCGCAUGUCAAUCUCAGACUGCUGUGCUAGCAGUGAGCAAGGCUCUGUGGGCGUGGAACCCUCCAAGCCAUGCGUGGCAUAUAAUCUCCUGGUGUGCCGUUUACUAAGACCAUUGGAAAAGCACAGUAUUUAGGCAGGAGUGUCCUGUUUUUCCAGGUACAGUCUGUCUCGGCUUCCUUUGGCUAGGAAAGGGAAAUCCCCCAACCCCUUCUGCUUCCUGUGUGAAGUGAUGUCCUGCCCUGCUUUGGCUUGCCCUCCGUAGGCUGCACCCACUGUCCAACCAGUCCCAGUGAGAUGAACCAGGUACCUCAGUUGGAAAUGCAGAAAUCACCCAUCUUCUGCGUUGAUCACCCUGGGAGCUGCAGACUGGAACUGUUCCUAUUCAGCCGUGUGCUAAUUUUUGUAUUUUUAGUAGAGACGGGAUUUUGCCAUGUUGGCCAGGCUGGUCUGGAACUCCUGACCUCAAGUGAUCUGUCUGCCUCAGCCUCCCAAAAUGUUGGGAUUACAGGCGUGAGCCACCACGCCUGGCCAAAUUUGUGAUUUUUUUUUGAGAUGGAGUCU
rnacentral:lncRNA from 1 species